rnacentral:rRNA from 1 species
GAUGACCUUUGGCGGCGUGCCUAAUACAUGCAAGUCGAACGCUUCACUUCGGUGAAGAGUGGCGAACGGGUGAGUAAUACAUAAGUAACCUGGCAUCUACAGGGGGAUAACUGAUGGAAACGUCAGCUAAGACCGCAUAGGUGUAGAGACCGCAUGAACUCUAUAUGAAAAGUGCUACGGGACUGGUAGAUGAUGGACUUAUGGCGCAUUAGCUGGUUGGUAGGGUAACGGCCUACCAAGGCGACGAUGCGUAGCCGACCUGAGAGGGUGACCGGCCACACUGGGACUGAGACACGGCCCACACUCCUACGGGAGGCAGCAGUAGGGAAUUUUCGGCAAUGGGGGAAACCCUGACCGAGCAACGCCGCGUGAAGGAAGAAGUAAUUCGUUAUGUAAACUUCUGUCAUAGAGGAAGAACGGUGGAUAUAGGGAAUGAUAUCCAAGUGACGGUACUCUAUAAGAAAGCCACGGCUAACUACGUGCCAGCAGCCGCGGUAAUACGUAGGUGGCGAGCGUUAUCCGGAAUUAUUGGGCGUAAAGAGGGAGCAGGCGGCACUAAGGCUCUGUGGAGAAAGAUCGAAAGCUUAUCUUCGGUAAGCCCUGGAAACCGUAGAGCUAGAGUGUGUGAAAGGAUCGUGGAAUUCCAUGUGUAGCGGUGAAAUGCAUAAAAAUUUGGAGGAACACCGGUGGCGGGGCGNGCGUUCUGGCGCAUAACUGACGCUCAGUCCCGAAAGCGUGGGGCGCAAAUAGGAUUAGAUACCCUAGUAGUCCACGCCGUCNCCCCACAAAAAGGUAGAGUGUUGGGUGUCAAAGCUCAGUGCUGCAGUUAACGCAAUAAGUACUCCGCCUGAGUAGUACGUUCGCAAGAAUGAAACUCAAAGGAAUUGACGGGGGCCCGCACAAGCGGUGGAGCAUGUGGUUUAAUUCGAAGCAACGCGAAGAACCUUACCAGGUCUUGACAUCGAUCUAAAGGCUCCAGAGAUGGAGAGAUAGCUAUAGAGAAGACAGGUGGUGCAUGGUUGUCGUCAGCUCGUGUCGUGAGAUGUUGGGUUAAGUCCCGCAACGAGCGCAACCCCUGUUGCCAGUUGCCAGCAUUAAGUUGGGGACUCUGGCGAGACUGCCGGUGACAAGCCGGAGGAAGGCGGGGAUGACGUCAAAUCAUCAUGCCCCUUAUGACCUGGGCUACACACGUGCUACAAUGGACAGAGCAGAGGGAAGCGAAGCCGCGAGGUGGAGCGAAACCCAUAAAACUGUUCUCAGUUCGGACUGCAGUCUGCAACUCGACUGCACGAAGAUGGAAUCGCUAGUAAUCGCGAAUCAGCAUGUCGCGGUGAAUACGUUCUCGGGCCUUGCACU